AUGAAUAAAAACAACAAAAUAUACUUAGUCACUUCUUUUAGCAUGGCUUUAGUUAGAUAUUAACAUCAGAACUGUGAAGAAUCCAAUAAGGCAUAUCUUUUGAAGAAUAAUGGCAGUUAUCAGCAGUAUUCUGAAAAACCGUCUUCUAGAAGCCCAGCCGAGCAUCCAAAGAGCACUCAACAAGAAUAGAAUGAGUUGUGUUUUUUUGAACCAGGCAGUUAACAGAUGCCACAGGACCUGGGCACCUCACAGUCAUUCAUUUGACCAUAAACUUCUCUGCAUACCAAAGUAUUCUAGAGUCAAAUGUGAGGCCACCUAUCUUACAGCUAAAGUUUGGUCGACAUUGGAUCACGCAAAAGGACAGUGAUUCCAAGCACACAGCAAAUCUACAACAGAAUGAUUGAAAAUGAAAAGAAUCAAGGUGUUGCAAUGGCCCAGUCACAGUCCAGAUUGAAUUGCUGUGGAGAAACUUCAAGAGAGUUGUGCAUAAACAAAUGGCCACAUGCCUCCAUGAACUGAAGCAAUGUUGUAAAGAAGAGUGGGCCAAAAUUCCUCCACCAUGAUAUGAGAGAGUCAUAUAGAAAACUAUUACUUCAAAUUAUUCUAUAAGCUAUUGAAUUAUAAGAAGUAUGUAUUUUUUCCACACAUGGCUUCUCAUUUUGGCUUUUCUUUUGUAAAAUAAAUGAUGACAUGAUAUAAUAUCAUGUUGCUGUUCA